AAAGCAGGGCUUAUCAGUUAAAAAGCUGAAAAAAGACAAGGCAGCGGGAGCAACAAGGAAAGCCACUCGUCCUGAGACAAACAUUGUAACUAUGGCACCAAGAGUCAAACCAGAGCUUCCUUUGCCUACAAUUUCAGUCGAGGUUGAGCAGUCUAUACUUGAUGACUUGAGAAACCGUGUACAGCUGAGCAGUGUUGCUCUGCCAUCCGUUAGUUUUUAUACAUUUAUCAAUGCACAUAAUGGUUUAAACAGUUCAACUAUAUCCCCUGACGGGUCAUUGGUUGCUGCUGGAUUUUUAGAUUCAUCACUGAAG